AUGGUGUAGAUUAUCAACAGGAUU
rnacentral:piRNA from 1 species